rnacentral:rRNA from 1 species
GAUGAACGCUAGCGGCAGGCUUAAUACAUGCAAGUCGUGGGGCAGCAGGUCUGUAGCAAUACAGAUGCUGGCGACCGGCAAACGGGUGCGGAACACGUACACAACCUUCCUUUAAGUGGGGAAUAGCCCAGGGAAACUUGGAUUAAUACCCCGUAAUAUUAUGAAGUGGCAUCACUUUAUAAUUAUAGCUCCGGCGCUUAAUGAUGGGUGUGCGUCUGAUUAGGUAGUUGGCGGAGUAAUAGCCCACCAAGCCUACGAUCAGUAACUGGUGUGAGAG